rnacentral:lncRNA from 1 species
AUGUCCUCUCUCUCUCUUUUUUUUUUUUUUUUUUUUUUUUUUUUUUUUUGUGUGUGUGUGUGUGUGUGCCUAAUUUCAUUUUGGAUCAGACCUUUCUCUGUCUUUUGCAGAAGAUACCUGUUGGAAUUGCUCAGGCUGCUGUCUCAGGAUUACAUUGCAAUUUGGUGUACUCAAGGUCAGCGGUCAGGUUGUGCUGGAGCCCACAGGCUCCCUACUAAAAAGAGAGAGCAGCAGUGCACUGCAGGACUGGUUAACAAGAGAUCCUGGCUGGCACAAGCUUUUGCCCAGAGCCGAGGGGCACUACCUUGUACUUUCACAUGCUGCAGCUGAGGUUCUGUGUGGGAGUAUCCCAUGACCAUCACACCCCGUGUUAGGUUCCUUACUUCUGUGGAGGGGAAUGUGGCAGACCCACGUGGUAACAACAGACACCAGGAGCUUCUCAAACCCCAAUACCUGCUGUCCUGAGCACACCACACUUUUCUCUGAUCUUGCCUUUUAUGGCAAAAAUUCAGACCAACCUGUGCAUAUGCAGUGACAACAACAACAUAAAGCCAUUAACUUUUAACAUUAACACUUAUCAUUAACAAGGAGCUCAGUUAGACAUGCAAUCCACUCUUUCAUGCAAUAUAUCAUAGUUACUAUUAUAAUAUAAAUACCAAUAUAAAAUACAUUGCUAAAUAUAAAUUACUACUAAAGAAAAGAAGGAGAAAAAUACAUGGCAUGUGUUAGUCACAUCAUUUAGUGUACUCCUUAAAGAUACUCAUAAGCAGUGGAGGGAACAGCAGUACAAGGACAUUAAUACAAUAGAGUAGAACAGAAAAGAAUAGAAACAAAGUGACAAGAUAAGUGAGGCAAACAAAGCAGUGGCCAUAAAAAGAAACCUGGACACUUCUGUAUUAUGAAGUACCAUGAAAUGGAGAAACCUACAACCUCAGGGAAAUAUAUGUAUGUAUAUAUAUAUAAAAUUAUAAUUUUAAAACACUAUUUUAAAAAGGUUCUGUUAAUCUUCAUAUGGACGCUAGAUGGGGAUCUUGAGUCAGCCAUGCAAAAGACUCCUUUAUCCUGCUUUUUCUUUAUUUUAAUCUGUUUUAUCACGGACAGAGUACAUGCAAUGCAAGUUUACUCUUCAGGCAUUUAUAUUUUUACUAGUUUUUUUUUUUUUUUUUUGGGGGGGGGGGCAGUAAUCUAAAGUAAAUAAAUAUUUACUUUUAAACCUACA